UACGAAGGGGGCUAGCGUUGCUCGGAAUCACUGGGCGUAAAGGGCGCGUAGGCGGCGUUUUAAGUCGGGGGUGAAAGCCUGUGGCUCAACCACAGAAUGGCCUCGAUACUGGGACGCUUGAGUAUGGUAGAGGUUGGUGGAACUGCGAGUGUAGAGGUGAAAUUCGUAGAUAUUCGCAAGAACACCGGUGGCGAAGGCGGCCAACUGGACCAUUACUGACGCUGAGGGGCGAAAGCGUGGGGAGCGAACAGG
rnacentral:rRNA from 1 species